UACGUAGGCAGCAAGCGUUGUUCGGAAUUACUGGGCGUAAAGAGUGUGUAGGCGGUGUUCUAAGUUUGUCGUGAAAUCUCCCGGCUUAACUGGGAGGGUGCGGCGAAAACUGGAAUGCUAGAGGAUGGGAGAGGUAAGCGGAAUUCCUGGUGUAGCGGUGAAAUGCGUAGAUAUCAGGAGGAACACUUGUGGUGUAGACAGCUUACUGGACCAUUUCUGACGCUGAGACACGAAAGCGUGGGUAGCAAACAGG
rnacentral:rRNA from 1 species